rnacentral:rRNA from 1 species
GCCCAGACUCCUACGGGAGGCAGCAGUGAGGAAUAUUGGUCAAUGGUCGGGAGACUGAACCAGCCAAGCCGCGUGAGGGAGGAAGGUACAGAGUAUCGUAAACCUCUUUUGUCAGGGAACAAAGACUGGGACGCGUCCCCGGAUGAGUGUACCUGAAGAAAAAGCAUCGGCUAACUACGUGCCAGCAGCCGCGGUAAUACGUAGGGGGCAAGCGUUAUCCGGAUUUACUGGGUGUAAAGGGAGCGUAGACGGCAGCACAAGUCUGGAGUGAAAUGCCGGGGCUUAACCCCGGAACUGCUUUGGAAACUGUGCAGCUAGAGUGCAGGAGAGGUAAGUGGAAUUCCUAGUGUAGCGGUGAAAUGCAUAGAUAUCGCGCAGAACUCCGAUUGCGAAGGCAGCAUGCCGGCUCCACACUGACGCUGAGGCACGAAAGCGUGGGUAUCGAACAGGAUUAGAUACCCGCGUAAAG